rnacentral:rRNA from 1 species
GCUCAGGAUGAACGCUGACAGAAUGCUUAACACAUGCAAAUCUAUGUAUGAAAUGUAAGCUUGCUUACAUAGACUACAUGGUGGACUGGUGAGUAACGUGUAAAGAACUUACCUCUUAGACUGGGAUAACCAUUAGAAAUGAUGGAUAAUACUAGAUAUUAUUAGUAGUAGGCAUCUACUAUUAAUGAAAGGAGAGAUUGCUAAGAGAGAGCUUUGCAUCCUAUUAGCUAGUUGGUGGGGUAAAGGCCUACCAAGGCUAUGAUAGGUAGCCGGCCCGAGAGGGUGAACGGCCACAAGGGGACUGAGAUACGGCCCUUACUCCUACGGGAGGCAGCAGUGGGGAAUAUUGGACAAUGGAGGAAACUCUGAUCCAGCAAUUCUGUGUGCACGAAGAAGGUUUUCGGAUUGUAAAGUGCUUUCAGUAGGGAAGAAGAAGAUGACGGUACCUACAGAAGAAGCGACGGCUAAAUACGUGCCAGCAGCCGCGGUAAUACGUAUGUCGCAAGCGUUAUCCGGAAUUAUUGGGCUUAAAGGGCAUCUAGGCGGUCUAACAAGUUGAAGGUGAAAAGCUGUGGCUCAACCAUAGUCUUGCCUACAAAACUGUCAGACUAGAGUACUGGAAAGGUGGGUGGAACUACACGAGUAGAGGUGAAAUUCGUAGAUAUGUGUAGGAAUGCCGAUGAUGAAGAUAACUCACUGGACAGAAACUGACGCUGAAGUGCGAAAGCUAGGGGAGCAAACAGGAUUAGAUACCCUGGUAGUCCUAGCUGUAAACGAUGAUCACUGGGUGUGGGGGUGUGAAGCCUCUGUGCCGAAGCAAAAGCGAUAAGUGAUCCGCCUGGGGAGUACGUACGCAAGUAUGAAACUCAAAGGAAUUGACGGGGACCCGCACAAGUGGUGGAGCAUGUGGUUUAAUUCGACGCAACGCGAGGAACCUUACCAGGUCUUGACAUACUCGGAAUAAGAUGGAAGCAUCUUAGUGCCUUUGGGAACCGAGAUACAGGUGGUGCAUGGCUGUCGACAGCUCGUGUCGUGAGAUGUUGGGUUAAGUCCCGCAACGAGCGAAACCCCUAUCAUUAGUUGCCA